rnacentral:rRNA from 1 species
UGGGGAAUCUUGCGCAAUGCGCGAAAGCGUGACGCAGCAACGCCGCGUGGGGGAAGAAGGCCUUCGGGUCGUAAACCCCUUUCAGGAGGGACGAAGCCUCGGGAGUGAAUAGCUCUCCGGGGUGACGGUACCUCAAUAAGAAGCCCCGGCUAACUACGUGCCAGCAGCCGCGGUAAUACGUAGGGGGCUAGCGUUGUCCGGAAUCAUUGGGCGUAAAGCGCGCGUAGGCGGUCAGGUAAGUCCGGUGUGAAAGUCAAAGGCUCAACCUUUGAAUGCCGCUGGAUACUGCCUGACUUGAGUCCGGAAGGGGCGAGUGGAAUUCCUGGUGUAGCGGUGAAAUGCGCAGAUAUCAGGAGGAACACCAAUGGCGAAGGCAGCUCGCUGGAACGGUACUGACGCUGAGGCGCGAAAGCGUGGGGAGCAAACAG